ACUCAAAUGAAUUGACGGGGGCCCGCACAAGCGGUGGAGCAUGGGGAUUAAUUCGUCAUUAACCGAAGAACCUUACCAGGGCUUGACAUCCCCGGAACCCCCGAGAAACCGGGGGGUGCCUCGCAAGAGGAGCCGGGAGACAGGUGUUGCAUGGCUGUCGUCAGCUCGUGUCGUGAGAUGUUGGGUUAAGUCCCGCAACGAGCGCAACCCUCACCCAAUGUUGCCAGCGUAAAGUCGGGCACUCUUUGGGAACUGCCCGUGUAAGCGGGAGGAAGGUGGGGAUGACGUCAAGUCAGCAUGGCCCUUACGUCCUGGGCUUCACCCAUGCUACAAUGGGCGUGACAGAGGGCCGCAAACCCGCGAGGGGGAGCCAAUCCCAGAAACACGCUCUCAGUUCGGAUUGCAGGCUGCAACUCGCCUGCAUGAAGUCGGAAUCGCUAGUAACCGCCGGUCAGCCAAACGGCGGUGAAUACGUUCCCGGGCCUUGUACACACCGCCCGU
rnacentral:rRNA from 1 species